AGAACACAGUGCUGACAGCUGGUGUCUGCUUUAGAAGUUGUCUGCUAAUUACAGCCUGCAGUGUCCCCAGCUGAGUGACAGACACCCCAGCAUCUUCCCAAAGGGUCCCGACUAUGACUGCCUCCAGUUGCACUUGAAUAUGCAUGGUUCCAAGAGAAAUGUGCUGCCAAGGUGGUGCUUCUUAUGGCCUAUGUGGAAGACGAAGGAGUUGGAGAUGACCCCCAGAGCCCAUCCUACCUCUGAGACUGCCAGUCGAUGAAAUACUGUCAUCAAGGGUGACAAAGGUCUCACAAGCUGCCAUGCUCUCUGGGUCUGUACCAGGAAGAACUUAUAACUCAGGACACAUCAUGCUACUUAAGGUAAGGAAUCAGGCCUGCUCAUUCCCUUCUU